rnacentral:lncRNA from 1 species
UUUUGGACUGAAGCAGCUUCUACUACAUGUUUUUUUGAUCAACCGAUCCCCAUUCGUUGCCAUUGAAAAAAAGACUCCGCAAGAGGUAUGGUCUGGUAAUCCUGCAAAUUAUUCUGAUUUAAAGAUUUUUGGGUGUCCUGCGUAUGCUCAUGUUGAUAAUGGAAAAUUGAAACCGAGAUCCAUUAAACAUGUUUUUCUUGGUUAUAAAGCUGGUGUAAAAGGGUAUAAGUUAUGGUGUCCUGAAAAAAAAAAGUUGUGAUUAGCAGAGAUGUUGUUUUUGAUGAAACUGCUAUGUUGUCUAACUUAUCUCUUAAAGACUCUUCCAAUAAAGAAAAUCAAAAGUAGGUGGAACAUCAGAUUAAUACAGAGUCGACUCCUCAAGUCAGUACAAAAAUUGAGAAUAGAGUUGCUUCUUCACCGCAAUACUCUAUCGCCAAAAACAGAACUAGAAGAGAAAUUAAACCUCCAAAGUAGUAUGCUGAGGCUGAUCUAGUUGCUUAUGCUUUAAAUGUGGCUGAAGAUAUAGAUGCAAAUCAAGAGCCAUCUAAUUAUUCUGAGGCGGUUAGCUGUGAAGACUCAGAAAAUUGGAUGUUUGCUAUGCAAGAGGAGAUAGAAUCACUCCACAAAAACAGAAUAUGGGAUUUUGUAAAACUUCAUAUAGGUAAAAAGGCUGUUCGUUGUAAAUGGGUGUUUAAAAAGAAAGAAGAGACUCUAAGAGUUGAAGAACCCAGAUAUAAAGCAAUACUUGUUGCAAAGGGUUACAAUCAAAUUCUAGGAGUAGACUUCACAGAUGUAUUCUCCCCAGUUGUUAAGCAUAGUUCGAUUCGAGCUUUGCUUGGUAUUGUGGCCGCACAUGAUUUGGAGCUUGAGUAGUUAGAUGUAAAAACUGCACUUUUGCAUGGAUAACUUGAGGAGGAUAUUUACGUGCAACAACUAGAGGGUUUUACAGUCUUAAAAAAAGAGGACUAUGUUUGCUUCCAGAAAAAGUCCCUUUACGGUUUGAAACAGUCACCAAGACAGUGGUACAAGAAGUUUGAUUCCUUUAUGACUUCUCAUGAUUUCAAAAGAAGUAGUUUUGACAAUUGUGUUUACUUUAAGAAAAAUAGUGAUGGUUCAUUUGUGUAUCUACUUCUUUAUGUUGAUGACAUGUUGAUAGCAGCAAAAGAUAAAUGAGAGAUAAGAAAGGUCAAAACCCAACUAAGUGAAGAAUUUGAGAUGAAAGAUUUAGGACCAGCAAAGAAGAUACUUGGUAUGGAGAUUCUCAGAUAUAGAAAAGCAAGUAAAUUGUACCCAAGUUAGAAAGGGUACAUUGAGAAAGUUCUUUGCAGGCUCAAUAUGCAGAGUGCUAAGCUUGUUAGUACUCCUUUAGUAGCCCAUUUUAGACUUUCAUUGGCUUUGUCUCCAUAAUCAGAUGAUGAGAUUGAGUACAUGUCACAUGUUCCAUACUCUAGUGCAGUGGGAUCUCUCAUGUAUGCUAUGGUUUGUUCACGUCCAGAUUUAUCAUAUGCAGUCAGUGCAGUUAGCAAAUACAUGGUGAAUCUCGGUAAAGAACACUGGAAAAUUUAGUGGAUUUUAUGAUACUUACGAGGUACUACUGAUGUUUACUUACAAUUUGGAAGAACUAGAGAUGGAGUCGUUGGGUAUGUUGGUGCUACUUUUGCUGGAGACCUUGAUAGAAGAAGAUCUCUCACAUCUUAUGUCUUUACAAUCGGAGGUUGUGCAAUCAGUUGGAAAGCCACUUUGCAAACUACAGUCGCUUUGUCUACCACUGAAGCUGAGUACAUGGUGAUUACUGAGGCUUGUAAAAAAUCUAUUUGGUUGAAGGGACUUUUUAGUGAACUCAAUAAAGACCUUCAAAUCAACAUAGUAUUUUGUGAUAGUUAGAGUGUCAUCUUUCUUACAAAAGAUCAAAUGUUUCAUGAGAGAACAAAACACAUUGAUGUUCGGUAUCAUUUUGUUAGUGAUAUUAUUGCUCGUGGUGAUAUUGUUGUGAGCAAAAUUAGUACUCAUGAAAAUCCUGCAAAUAUGAUGACUAAGUCACUUUCUAUAACCAAGUUUGAGCAUUGCUUAGACUUGGUUGGUGUUUGUUGUUGAUGUUAAGCCCUUAAGGGGUUUUAUGAAAGAGGUGGAGAACUUGUUCGUUGAGAGUUCGCGAGCGAUGAAGAACUUGUUCGUUGAGAGUUCGCGAUGAAGAACUUGUUCAUUGAGAAUUCGUGUUAAGAUGGAGAUUGUUAGAAUUAAGUGACCCGAAUCCUUAUUUAAAUAAAAUAAUGUGGUAAAAUAAAAUAAAAGAAGAAUCCACCUAGAAUUACACUUCUUUUAUUUUAUUUUAGAAUAAGGUUUUUUAAACCUUAUUAAAUUCUAUCUAUUUGAUAUUGAUUAGAAUAAGGUAUUUCAGUCUUACUAGAAUAUGGCUUCACAAGCCUAUAAAUAGACAUAGUCUAUUCCUCUUGUAAUCAUUUGAAUUCGACAUAGUGAAUUUUCUUCUCCUCUGCUCGUGAUUUUUUCCCGAAAGGAUUUCCACGUAAAAAUUUGUGUGUUCUUUAUUUUAUUUUAUUUUCACAUUUAUAGUUGAAUUGUUCAUUUUUUAUUUCACCAAUUGUAACUUGGGAGGGUUUUAAUUGAGCCAUAAAAACUAAAAAAUAUUCUAGUUUAGCUAUUAAAGUUAGGAGGAAAGGUUUUGUCUAAGCCUUAAGAAAAAGAUAAUGAUGUACAUGUUAUACCUUCUCCUUAAAAGCCAUCAAUUUUAGUCGUGAAUUGGGAAAUCCUUAGAGGUGAAAAAUUACAGUAGUGAAGGUAAGCAAUUGGGGUCUAAUCACUAUAACUUCAUUUUAUCAAGCUAUUAUCCCUUGAUUUUUCCAUUUAGAAUAGUUUUUAAGAAAAUUUUCAAAAUACAAAUUCACCUUCCUCUUGGUAUAUUGGGGCCUAAUAGUGGAUGUAGUAAAAACAAAGGCAAAUUUCCAAUCACUAAACAUUGGAUGUUGCUUAAAGGGCUCACACACUUGAACAUCUAGAGGCUAAGCUCAGUUUUCUCAAUUCACAAAUCAAUUUAAUCAACAAAAGGAGGAAUACAGUCUUUCAAUACACUGCAAAUAUGAAAAGAACAUCAGUUUCGUUUUUCUUCCUUUGGUUCUUUUUGUAAAAAGAAAAAAAAGGAGAUCAGGUAAGGAAAGCAAAUUGGGAGUGAGAGCUGAAGCUGGAAUUGAUUGAGACAAUGGGAUAGUUUUGAGUCAAUAGGAGAUCACUGACCAAUUCAAGUUGUAUUUUGCUGGAGCUUGUAGGGUUCUUGUUUGUUGGUGUAAUAGGCCCAUUUCACCGGGGCCCAUUAGAAUAAAAAAAUAGAAAUUAAAAACUAAAAAUAAAACAAAAAUAAAAAAAAACACACAAACAAAAAAUCCAAAUGUCAAUGUCCUUUUACAAAUUUUACUAGCCCAAAUAAAAUUUCAAACACCCAACCCAAUUACGAAAAUAAUCCAUAACCCAAUAAGUCCUAAAACCCAAUUCUAAUUAACCCAUAUCCUAAAUCUAGCCCAAACUUGAAAGAGCCCAAAAAGGAAAAUUUUCAGCAGUCAAGAAAGCUCCUAGAAUGCACUGGAAGGGCACCAGAGGCACGGCUUCUCAUGUGAGAUCCCCGGGUCAUCUUCUCCGUACCUGCAAUAGAAUACAGUAUAUGACAGCAAUAAAAUGUAUUUUUAUUUUAUUUUUAUUCUGAAAUUUUGGCUAUAAAAGCUGAUGAUUGUACCUACAAAAAGGAGGACGCUCAUUAUACGCAUACAGAAUUUAAAAUUUUCAAAAAGGAAUUUCUAAAAGGUGAUCUUCUUUAGUUUUAAUUAUUCUCUUAUUUUUAUUUAUUUUUCCAGCAAUUAUCUUUAUCAUUUUGCAUGUAAAAACAAAAAGAAAGUCAAAUCUUACCUUGCGAAUCGGCUUUGGCCUUUGUUCACUUCGUUGAGAUUGAAAUUGAAAGGAGAAUCCAAAAGCAUUAUCCAUCAAGCCUCGAGAUGGCGCCAAUGAGAUCCCUAAUAUCUCUAAAAUACUGAGAUAAGGACGAGGGUCAGAGGCUGUUGAAUGUGUUGGUUUUCAACCUUGUUUUUUUUUUCUCUUUGAGCAAAUGAUUUGAGAUUUGAGAUAUUUUUUUUAAAAAUAAAAUAAAUUGGGUUACCAGAUUUCCUCGAGUGGACCUUCGAUGGUGAAGUCUGGUUGUUGUUCAUGCGUUAUCGACUACCAAAUAAAAUGGUGGUUCAAUGGCUGCAAAUAUGAACCAUAACAUUUUGAUUUUGGGGCUGUGCAUUUGGGUGGAUGAGUGGCUGCAUUUAAAGAAAGAAAAAGGAUAGAAGAAAGGUUCUAAAUAACCUAUUGGAAAAACGGGGUCGUCCACUAGCAAUGGAGGUCCGCGUAUUGGCCCGAAAUGUGAAUCGGAUCUGCGCCAUUUUGUAUGCAAGGGAAAUUUUCGCGCUAAGUCCUUUGCAUUCGCAUGGGGCUUCAACUGCAUCCUUUUUGCUUUGCUUUAUUUUUUAAUUUGGCUUACUGAUUUGAGCGCAUUUUCAUUUAAAUUCAUGAUACAGUGAUGUGAUUUAGGCCUGGGAGGAUUUACAAUAUCAGUCCCUAUAUAUUUAUGCAUGUUAUGCAUUGAUCUAUUUUAUGGUCAUUUUAGUUACAAAUUAUCCUUCUUAUCUUGAUGCAUUUUUAAUUGAGUUUUAUAUUUGUAUAAUCGGUUCAUUUAGAAGACAUUCAAUAUGUGUAUGCCUUGAUACAAGUUAAUAAUUUUGUUUGUUACAUUUGUAUAAUUAUUUUAGAUUGUUUUUUUUUACAUCAUGUAUUUUUGUUUUUUUUUUACAUCAUGUAUUCUAUUUCUUUAAAUAUUUUACAUAUAUUUGUAUAUUAAUCAUUUUUUUUAGUUUUUUAUAAUAAUUAUUGUUUUGCAUGUUAUAAAUUUUUUUUAUAUUACAUUGUUGUACAGGCCCAAUAUUGCCCUGGCCCAGACAAAUAAAAAAUAACAAAACCUAAAACAAUAAAAAAGAGUCCAAAAUAAUUAGCCCAUUUAUAAUAUUAAACAGCCCAAUUUACAUCAAACCCUAGCCCAAAUAACAGCCCACUUGCUUAAGGUUUUUCAGCAGCAAACCCCUGGCACCCCAGCUCUCCAUGCCACCAUGUCGGCCACCAUGCCCCUCAGCCUUGGCCACCACGCUCCACGCGUUUGACACUCCCACCAACUCCUCCAUGUGCACCCACCUGUUGAUUUCCAUCACCUGCAGAAUAAGACAAAAAAGAAAGCAAACACUAAUACAGAGGCAGACGACAGGAAGCAAUGGCAAGAAAUUUAAAAAAAUAUUGUAUUGAAAUAGCUAUAAAUGCCAGAUCUGAAUGUAAUACAGGGGAAAUUUUUUAGAGAUUUCAAAGGGAAGAAUCGGUUGUAUUUUGGGGGGAUAUAUAUUUUUUCUUCAGAGAUAAUACAAGCGGAAGAGUAAAUCAAGAAUCGGAACUAAGUUUUGAAAGGUGAUUUUUCAUUUUUUUUGGAAUUUUCUCUUGAUUUGGAUUUCGUUUGUUCUGUUCCAUUUUCAAUUUUUUUAAAAAAAACGGUUUUUAAAAAAAAAAACAAGAGAGGGAGAGAGGGGACUUACCAACGAACUCGCGACCUCGGCUCGCCGGACCUCCGAUGAGAGUGGCGCAGGCCUAAGAGAAAAUUUGAGAGCUUUCUCUCUGUUUUUCUUUAAGGAAAAUAAGAGAGAUGAUGGGUAAAUGUUUUUUUUUUGUUUUCAAAAAAAGGGUGUUCAAUGUUUUAAAAAUAAAAAAACAAAAAAGUAGGCUUCAUUUGUUUUUUUCCCCUCAAAAGUAGAGCCUGG